AGGGCACCACCAGGAGUGGAGCCUGCGGCUUAAUUUGACUCAACACGGGAAAACUCACCCGGCCCGGACACUGGAAGGAUUGACAGAUUGAGAGCUCUUUCUUGAUUCAGUGGGUGGUGGUGCAUGGCCGUUCUUAGUUGGUGGAGCGAUUUGUCUGGUUAAUUCCGAUAACGAACGAGACUCUAGCCUAUUAAAUAGGCUCUCGGAUUUUAAACGCCCGGAGGACUUCUUAUAGGGAGACGUGGCGGUUCUCCCCCAAAAAAAACAGAAAUAACACGUGUGUGAUACCCUUUGUUGUCCCGGGCGCCGCGCGCGCUCCACUGAAAAGAUCUCCGUGCGUUACUUUCCUGCGCCCACCGGAGUGGGGAACCCCCUGAACCUUCUUCGUGAGAGGGAUAUAAGAUAGUGAUUAUUCUUCUUGAAAAAGAAAAAUUCAGUAAAAGCGAGUCAUAAGCUCUCGUUGAUUACGUCCCUGCCCCCUGUACACACCGCCCGUCUCUACUACAGAUUGAACGAUAU
rnacentral:rRNA from 1 species